GACGAACGCUGGCGGCGCGCUGAACACAUGCAAGUCGAACGGAAAGGCCCUGCUUUUGUGGGGUGCUCGAGUGGCGAACGGGUGAGUAACACGUGAGUAACCUGCCCUUGACUUUGGGAUAACUUCAGGAAACUGGGGCUAAUACCGGAUAGGAGCUCCUGCUGCAUGGUGGGGGUUGGAAAGUUUCGGCGGUUGGGGAUGGACUCGCGGCUUAUCAGCUUGUUGGUGGGGUAGUGGCUUACCAAGGCUUUGACGGGUAGCCGGCCUGAGAGGGUGACCGGCCACAUUGGGACUGAGAUACGGCCCAGACUCCUACGGGAGGCAGCAGUGGGGAAUAUUGCACAAUGGGCGGAAGCCUGAUGCAGCAACGCCGCGUGCGGGAUGACGGCCUUCGGGUUGUAAACCGCUUUCGCCUGUGACGAAGCGUGAGUGACGGUAAUGGGUAAAGAAGCACCGGCUAACUACGUG
rnacentral:rRNA from 1 species